rnacentral:rRNA from 1 species
UAAGUGAAGAGUUUGAUCCUGGCUCAGAGUGAACGCUGGCGGCAGGCCUAACACAUGCAAGUCGAACGGCAGCACAGUAAGAGCUUGCUCUUAUGGGUGGCGAGUGGCGGACGGGUGAGGAAUACAUCGGAAUCUACUCUUUCGUGGGGGAUAACGUAGGGAAACUUACGCUAAUACCGCAUACGACCUACGGGUGAAAGCGGAGGACCUUCGGGCUUCGCGCGAUUGAAUGAGCCGAUGUCGGAUUAGCUAGUUGGCGGGGUAAAGGCCCACCAAGGCGACGAUCCGUAGCUGGUCUGAGAGGAUGAUCAGCCACACUGGAACUGAGACACGGUCCAGACUCCUACGGGAGGCAGCAGUGGGGAAUAUUGGACAAUGGGCGCAAGCCUGAUCCAGCCAUGCCGCGUGGGUGAAGAAGGCCUUCGGGUUGUAAAGCCCUUUUGUUGGGAAAGAAAAGCAGUCGGUUAAUACCCGAUUGUUCUGACGGUACCCAAAGAAUAAGCACCGGCUAACUUCGUGCCAGCAGCCGCGGUAAUACGAAGGGUGCAAGCGUUACUCGGAAUUACUGGGCGUAAAGCGUGCGUAGGUGGUGGUUUAAGUCUGUUGUGAAAGCCCUGGGCUCAACCUGGGAAUUGCAGUGGAUACUGGGUCACUAGAGUGUGGUAGAGGGUAGCGGAAUUCCC